rnacentral:rRNA from 1 species
GAUGAACGCUGGCGGCGUGCUUAACACAUGCCAGUCGAACGGAAAGGCUCCUGCUUGCAGGGGUACUCGAGUGGCGAACGGGUGAGUAACACGUGGGUGAUCUGCCCUGCACUUCGGGAUAAGCCUGGGAAACUGGGUCUAAUACCGGAUAGGACCACAUUUUGGAUGGUGUGGUGGAAAGUUUUUCGGUGUGGGAUGAGCUCGCGGCCUAUCAGCUUGUUGGUGGGGUAAUGGCCUACCAAGGCGUCGACGGGUAGCCGGCCUGAGAGGGUGUACGGCCACAUUGGGACUGAGAUACGGCCCAGACUCCUACGGGAGGCAGCAGUGGGGAAUAUUGCACAAUGGGCGCAAGCCUGAUGCAGCGACGCCGCGUGGGGGAUGACGGCCUUCGGGUUGUAAACUCCUUUCGCUAGGGUCGAAGCGCAAGUGACGGUACCUGGAGAAGAAGCACCGGCUAACUACGUG